rnacentral:rRNA from 1 species
AGAGUUUGAUCCUGGCUCAGGACGAACGCUGGCGGCGCGCCUAACACAUGCAAGUCGAACGAGCGAGAGAGAGCUUGCUUUCUCAAGCGAGUGGCGAACGGGUGAGUAACGCGUGAGGAACCUGCCUCAAAGAGGGGGACAACAGUUGGAAACGACUGCUAAUACCGCAUAAGCCCACGGCUCGGCAUCGAGCAGAGGGAAAAGGAGCAAUCCGCUUUGAGAUGGCCUCGCGUCCGAUUAGCUAGUUGGUGAGGUAACGGCCCACCAAGGCGACGAUCGGUAGCCGGACUGAGAGGUUGAACGGCCACAUUGGGACUGAGACACGGCCCAGACUCCUACGGGAGGCAGCAGUGGGGAAUAUUGCACAAUGGGGGAAACCCUGAUGCAGCGACGCCGCGUGGAGGAAGAAGGUCUUCGGAUUGUAAACUCCUGUUGUUGGGGAAGAUAAUGACGGUACCCAACAAGGAAGUGACGGCUAACUACGUGCCAGCAGCCGCGGUAAAACGUAGGUCACAAGCGUUGUCCGGAAUUACUGGGUGUAAAGGGAGCGCAGGCGGGAAGACAAGUUGGAAGUGAAAUCUAUGGGCUCAACCCAUAAACUGCUUUCAAAACUGUUUUUCUUGAGUAGUGCAGAGGUAGGCGGAAUUCCCGGUGUAGCGGUGGAAUGCGUAGAUAUCGGGAGGAACACCAGUGGCGAAGGCGGCCUACUGGGCACCAACUGACGCUGAGGCUCGAAAGUGUGGGUAGCAAACAGGAUUAGAUACCCUGGUAGUCCACACCGUAAACGAUGAUUACUAGGUGUUGGAGGAUUGACCCCUUCAGUGCCGCAGUUAACACAAUAAGUAAUCCACCUGGGGAGUACGACCGCAAGGUUGAAACUCAAAGGAAUUGACGGGGGCCCGCACAAGCAGUGGAGUAUGUGGUUUAAUUCGACGCAACGCGAAGAACCUUACCAAGUCUUGACAUCCCUUGACAGGCAUAGAAAUAUGUUUUCUCUUCGGAGCAAGGAGACAGGUGGUGCAUGGUUGUCGUCAGCUCGUGUCGUGAGAUGUUGGGUUAAGUCCCGCAACGAGCGCAACCCUUAUCCUCAGUAGCCAGCAAGUGAAGUUGGGCACUCUGUGGAGACUGCCAGGGAUAACCUGGAGGAAGGUGGGGAUGACGUCAAAUCAUCAUGCCCCUUAUGAUUUGGGCUACACACGUGCUACAAUGGCGUAAACAAAGGGAAGCGAUCACGCGAGUGUGAGCAAAUCUCAAAAAUAACGUCUCAGUUCGGAUUGUAGUCUGCAACUCGACUACAUGAAGCUGGAAUCGCUAGUAAUCGCAGGUCAGCAUACUGCGGUGAAUACGUUCCCGGGUCUUGCAC